rnacentral:rRNA from 1 species
UACGUAGGGUGCGAGCGUUAAUCGGAAUUACUGGGCGUAAAGUGUGCGCAGGCGGCUCCGCAAGUCGAGUGUGAAAUCCCCGAGCUUAACUUGGGAAUUGCGCUCGAAACUACGGAGCUGGAGUGUGGCAGAGGAAGGUGGAAUUCCACGUGUAGCGGUGAAAUGCGUAGAUAUCAGGAGGAACACCAAUAGCGAAGGCAGCUCGCUGGGACGUUACUGACACUGAGGCGCGAAAGCGUGGGGAGCGAACAGG